rnacentral:tRNA from 1 species
AGUAGAAUAAGUUAAAUAAACUGUUGGGCUCAUAACCCAAUAAUGAGCGGUGAAACCCCCUCUUCUACCU